CGCGGGGCGACGGUCGCGAAGUGGAGCCGCGCCCCCUUUUCCCGCCUCCGGCCGCUCCAUGAGGGCCUGGCGCGCUCUGCGGCGGGGGGCCGCCUUCUCAUCCUCCUCCUCCUCGUCAUCCUCCUCUUCUUCCUCAUCCCCACCCUCCUCCUCUUCUUCUCCUGCCGACGGGAAGCCUCGUAGGCGGGCAUGGGAGACUUCGCUGUCACCGCUAGAGCGGGUGAGGCGGCUGCUGCCGCCCGAGGAAGCGGCGGCGGUGGCGCGGGGUGCGGCGGCGGCAGCGGCAGCCCCGCUGCAGCCUCAGGCUCCCCCUGAGGAGAAGGAGGAAGUGGCGGCGGUCGCCCCCCGUCAAGCGCUGGUUGAGGCGGCAGGUCCGCGUUCCGGCCCCUUCCGCGCCGGGGAGCUGGCGCUGGCGGAGGUACGGAGGAAGAACAACUCGACGCUGAAGCUGCUGUGCCGGCUGGCGGCGGAGGCGGUGCUGAGCAGCCCCGGUGGCCUCCUGCCCCACCGCGACAUCAUCGGGCAGCUGCCCGGGCAGGUGCUGCGCACGUCGGCCGGGAGGCGGCUGCUGCUGAGGCGGCCCUCGCUGGACGAGUACGUGCUGCUCAUGCCGCGGGGAGCCACCAUCGCCUACCCCAAGGAUAUAAGUGCUCUAUUAAUGAUGAUGGAUAUCCACCCGGGAGACACCGUGUUGGAAACUGGCAGCGGGUCUGGUGCUAUGAGCUUGUUUCUGUCAAGAGCAGUUGGGCCCAAAGGACGUGUUCUAAGUUAUGAAAUCAGAGAGGAUCAUCAUAAUUUAGCUAAGAAGAAUUACAGGCACUGGCGUUCUGCGUGGGAGAUAGGACAUGUGGAUGAGUGGCCAGAUAACGUGGAGUUCAUUCUGAAAGACAUUUCAACAGCUGCUGCAGAUCUGAAAUCCAUAACACUUGAUGCAGUAGUUCUGGAUAUGCUGAACCCUCAGUGUGCUCUGCCUGUUGUACACCCAAGCCUGAAACAAGGUGGGGUGUGCGCUGUGUACUUGGCAAACAUCACACAGGUUAUUGACCUUUUAGACAGAAUACGGAGCUGCAAGCUUCCAUUUUUGUGUGAAAGGAUAAUUGAGGUAACUCACAGGCGCUGGUCAGUACUCCCUGCUAAACUCAAGCAUUACAAAUCAAGCCAAAUGGUGGAAACUCAAGAAAAUAUUGAAGAACCACCUCAAAAUGAAUAUGAAGAAAUCCAUAUUCAGGAUGAAGCAGUUCUUAAGGAGAGCGAAUACAAUGGUAAGGACUUCACUGCUGAUGAGUUCCCCUAUUGCUGCACUUGGAUAAUCCAGUGUAGGAAGAGGCAGUGCUUUUACCUAGGUCAGCUGAGAAUAGGCAAGGGUUUGGACAGCCUAAACCUUGUCAGGUUUAAAGAAGACUAUUAGUUGUUAUUUAAGUUAAAAUAUCCUACUAAAAACCUGGGCUAAAUAAAAAAUAAAUUUCAGUCUGAAAUAAAUAAUGACUGCCCUUCUACUGCUGUUUUCAAAUUUUUGAUUUUUAAGAAAAUUCAGUUCUUUAUAGUCACCCCAAAGCUGCUUUAGAGGACCUUGAUGGACUUAAGGAUUCCUUAGGAGAAGCAGUGGCCAGUGAGCUGUUUUAAAAUUAUGCUGUUCUGGCAAAUCCAAAAAUGCUGCCAUAUGUAUAUAUUAUAUUUAUAUGACAAAUAUAAAAUUACAUAUACAGUGUAGAUUGCAAAAUGCAAAGAGUUCUGAAUAUACUGGUAGGUGAUGACAAAAAAAAAAAAAAACAUGUCAGGGGAAAAUACUACAUGAACAUUAUUUACUCUAGGCUGCAUGUAGGUCUUAAACUUGUGGGUACAAAAUAAAAAGAAAUGUCCUUCUCACAGAAUCACUCAGUGAUGCUGCUGAAACAAACCACUCAGUGCCUUACAUUGCCCGACCAUCUCACUGGCAGGAAGCUCAUUCAGCGUUCCUUACCAAGCUGAGAAAGUUUCAACCGCUGCUUUCUUGAUGCUGCUGCCUCCUUAACUGCUAAUUUGAAUAUUGUAUCAGAAUGAAAUAAAACAUAACAAAGUAGAUGCUA